AUUGCCACCCCUAAUCAUAACAUCAAUUUGUGCUGUCAUGAGCUGUUACCAUAUUUAAUAAUAACUAUUAAAUUUUAUUAGAACAACUCAAUAAAGUGAACGGAUUUUCUUAAAUUCUGUUGGUAUGGUAGCAAUACAUAAAAUCAGUGAUCAGUGGAAUAACACUAGUUUCAAAAUAAAACAUGAAACUACGGUGACAGACAUUAGAAGAAGUUGGCAAUCUUCAAUUGAUAUCUAUUGGACAUCAAUGAAUAUAA
rnacentral:lncRNA from 1 species